GAUGAACGCUGGCGGCGUGCCUAAUACAUGCAAGUCGAGCGAACAGACGAGGAGCUUGCUCCUCUGACGUUAGCGGCGGACGGGUGAGUAACACGUGGAUAACCUACCUAUAAGACUGGGAUAACUUCGGGAAACCGGAGCUAAUACCGGAUAAUAUAUUGAACCGCAUGGUUCAAUUGUGAAAGACGGUUUUGCUGUCCCUUAUAGAUGGAUCCGCGCCGCAUUAGCUAGUUGGUAAGGUAACGGCUUACCAAGGCAACGAUGCGUAGCCGACCUGAGAGGGUGAUCGGCCACACUGGAACUGAGACACGGUCCAGACUCCUACGGGAGGCAGCAGUAGGGAAUCUUCCGCAAUGGGCGAAAGCCUGACGGGGCAACGCCGCGUGAGUGAUGAAGGUCUUCGGAUCGUAAAACUCUGUUAUUAGGGAAGAACAAAUGUGUAAGUAACUAUGCACGUCUUGACGGUACCUAAUCAGAAAGCCACGGCUAACUACGUG
rnacentral:rRNA from 1 species